rnacentral:rRNA from 1 species
UACGUAGGUGGCAAGCGUUGUCCGGAUUUACUGGGCGUAAAGGAUGCGUAGGCGGACAUUUAAGUCAGAUGUGAAAUACCCGAGCUUAACUUGGGUGCUGCAUUUGAAACUGGGUGUCUAGAGUGCAGGAGAGGUAAGUGGAAUUCCUAGUGUAGCGGUGAAAUGCGUAGAGAUUAGGAAGAACACCAGUGGCGAAGGCGACUUACUGGACACAUAUUGACGCUGAGGUGCGAAAGCGUGGGGAGCAAACAGG